rnacentral:lncRNA from 1 species
CUUUGAAUGGCCUUGAUCUUUGAUUGGUCCACUUCAAUACCAUGGUGCUUGACAAUGAUGCCGAGGAAUUUCCCAGAGGUGACGCAAAGUGUACACUUCAACGGGUUCAUUUUGAGGUUGUAGUGCCGUAGUUUGUCGAACACCAUUCGUAAAUCCUUCAAGUGAUUAGAUCUCUUCUUGGUCUUGAUAACUACGUCGUCUACGUAACAUUCUAUGUUUUUGUGUAUCAUGUCGUUAAAGAUCUUCUACAUUGCAAGUAGAUAUGUAGCCUCAGUGUUCUUCAAGCCAAAGGGCAUUACUUUGUAGGAGUAGAUACCUAUUGGACGGCUUUAGCUGUGAUGUAGAUGAUUGAUAAACAACGCCCAUUUAGCUAGUUGCAUUGUUAGAAUGGGUUUGGACGUAACAUACUUGACUGGGUCGACUUUAGCAACCAAGUGGAUGGUGUAAGCAUGCAUGUAGUGUCUUAGCUUUUGGACGGCAAAGACUAGGGCUAGGCACAUCUUCUCGAUCAGUGAGUAGUUAAGCUCGUCACCAAUGAGAGUUCUACUUAGGUAGCAGAGUGCUCUUUCCUUUUAGUCUUCAUUUUCUUAUGCCAAGAGUGCUCCAAUAGAACCUUCUUAUGCAGCAAUGUGUAAGAUGAGCGGUUUUCCAGGCACGGGUGCUCCUAAGACCGGUGGGCUUGCCAAGUAGCAUUUUAUGCUCUUGAAGGCGUUGCGGCAAGUGUCAUCCCAUAUGAAUGGAGCAUCUUUCUUCAUGAGUCAACCAAAGGGUUAACAGCGUCCAACAAGGUUAGAGAUGAAACGCUUAAUGAAGGCUAGUUGUCCUUGUAGACUUUUCAGCUCGUGUAGAUUCAUUGGCUCAGGCAUGCUUUGAAUGGCCUUGAUCUUUGAUUGGUCCACUUCAAUACCAUAGUGCUUGACAAUGAAGCCGAGGAAUUUCCCAAAGGUGACGCAAAGUGCACACUUCAACGGGUUCAUCUUGAGGUUGUAGUGCCGUAGUUUAUCGAACACCAUUCGUAAAUCCUUCAAGUGAUUGGAUCUCUUCUUGGUCUUGACAACUACGUCGUCUACGUAACAUUCUAUGUUUUUGUGUAUCAUGUCGUUAAAGAUCUUCUACAUUGCAAGUAGAUAUGUAGCCUCAGUGUUCUUCAAGCCAAAGGGCAUUACCUUGUAGGAGUAGAUACCUAUUGGAGUGCGGAAAGCUGUUAAUUCCUCGUCUUCGAGAGCCAUGCGGACUUGAUUGUACCCAGAGGAGCCGUCCGUGAAUGAUAGCUCAUCAUGGCCAGUGGUUAUGUCCACCAUGAUUUCGAUGAUUAGCAAAGGAAAGUCAUCAUUCGGGGCAAGCAUCGUUAAGGUCUCGGAAGUUUAUACAAACAUGUAUUUGUCCAGGUUUCUUCAAGACAAUGACGAUGUUGGAGAUCCACUUGGGGUAUUGUGUUGGAAUAGCUUUUGAUGUAAUAGCUUUUGAAAUACUUGUUGUGUUAAACUAUUAUAUGUUUAAUGAAAGGCAAAUCUUAUUGUUAAUCACUAUUUAUUGUAUUAUGUGUUUAAGCAAUAAGGUAAUCCAAGGAAUUUAUUUAAUCUAAAAGAGAAGUGAUCUAAGUAAGUUAGAUAAACGAGACCUUUCGCUUAUGUUCAUUCCUAAAAUGUUCCUAACCAUAGGAUUGCCAAUUGGGCAUUGACAAUCCGCUAAGGUUAGUAUGUGUUAUGUUAACUCAAGCGUGAGUAUGACUAGUCUCAAGUCAACUAAUGUUGGACACUGAGACAAACACAUAGAUGCUCAAAAGGUAAUCGAGUACACUAAACAAUGAUCAAAAGAGAGUUCAAACAUACAUGUCAAGUAAGAACUCGUAAGUUGCAAUAUGCAAAGUAGUCAUUUGACCUGAGGCAUCAUAGAUGUCUAAUGGCUAGGUCAUUGAUCUUUGAUCAUGUCAAAGAAAUUUCAAUGAGAGUGUCCACGACAUUGUUGGGGUCAAGCUAUCUAAUCUUGUAGGCAUAUGAAUGCACAACAAGGGAUCUCUAACCUUCCAUGGUGGAAGGAGAAUACUCUAAGAUGUGAUUCGAGAGUCUUUGGCAAAAGCAUAUGAAUGUGACUUUGGAAGUUUGUUCCAAAUCAAAUUCAAUUGAAUCAUAUAGAGAAGUAUCACAUUGGAUAGUUGACAUGAAACAAACUAUCACUCAAACAAUGUGAUUAAGAGUAUUGUAUUAGAGAAUGACCGUAUUGCAUUGUAAUUGUAACUGAAUAGGUUCUCCAACCACUUCUACUUAGCUUGGGUAGCCAUGACAUACUGCUAGGUGUCACUCAUGGUUUUUGGAAGCCCUGAAGAUUAGCAAACACUAAUCUUCAUUGAAGGGAGAAUUGAAAUGUGGUAUAAUCAAUCGUUAAGAGUAACAAUCGCCUACAACCUCGCUAAUUGGAACCUAAUGGAUCGUCCACUAAGUAAGGAUGAAAGCGAAGAAAUAUAAAUGUGAUGGAUAAGCAAUUACAUGGUUUAAUUGAGAAUGAUCAAGAUUAAUUAAUUAGUUAAUUAAUUAUACGAAAGGUUCGUAUUGGGCUUUCAAUUUAUUUUCAGGUCUUGGGGGCCCAAAAGUGUUUUGGUCCACAAGGCCCAUUAUGUUUAAGUUGUAUCACAACUAAAACAAAAUGGGCAAUUAGGCCAACAACAAAGUCAACAUCGGCCAUAAGGGUGAGUGGAAGCAAACUUGAAUUAAUUGCAAGUUUGUCACUCACAUGUGAGGUAGUAUAAAGUCAUCUUUAUAGCUUUUACUCACUAGGGUUUUCUUGAGGCAAAGAAGAGAAACAUUGUCUCUCUUUUUUCUCUAUAGAGGCCGGCCACUUCGGGAGACUUUUAAUAGCAUCAAAAAUCUCUCUAAGGCAUCCAUCUUCUCUUUACACUACAUCCUUGGUGUGGAGAAUUAGAGACACUAAACCUUUGGUGUUCUUGGAGACCCUUUCCUCAGAUCCUUAAGGAGCAAAGGAGUAUCAAAAUGAAGAAAAUCACAGAGCUUCAAGGAUCUAGGAGGUGACUUGAAGGCCCUCCACUUGGGUGAAUCCUUUGUGUAAACAAGGAAGAGCUUCAAGGAUAAUGAAUCUCAAAAUCCUUUCUUCUAUUUAAUGUUGUUAAAGAGUCUUGUGUUUCACCAUUCACUAGGCUUUGAAAGUCAUGGGUUUUUAGAAUUGUUUUUUAAUGCAUGCUUACUUUAAAGUGUUAUUGGUUUGCUUAUAUGUUCAAAUGUUCUCACGUGUUCUUAGCUAGGACAAAAAAUUUCCUUCAUAUUGCACCUCUCGAAUUAAGCCUAUUCGAUUAGCUUGUCAAUCUCGUCCUCAAUUUGUGGGAUGAGCUCGGAUUGAUAGCGUCUUUGAGUUUGCUUUAUCGGUCAUGUUCCAGGCUUGACUGCAAGACGAUGCACAACGAUGGUAGGGUCAAGGUCGGGCAUUUCCUUAAAGGUCCAAGCAAAGACGUAUUUGUACUCCAUUAGUAGUUGGUAGUACUCCUCGAUCUCGUCCGCACUUAGUAGCGUACUUACGUAGAUAGGUUUUGGCUCCUCGCU